rnacentral:rRNA from 1 species
UAGAGUUUGAUCAUGGCUCAGAUUGAACGCUGGCGGCAGGCCUAACACAUGCAAGUCGAGCGGCAGCGACAACAUUGACCCUUCGGGGGAUUUGUUGGGCGGCGAGCGGCGGACGGGUGAGUAAUGCCUGGGAACAUGCCUUAGUGUGGGGGAUAACCAUUGGAAACGAUGGCUAAUACCGCAUAAUCUCUACGGAGCAAAGAGGGGGACCUUCGGGCCUCUCGCGCUAAGAUUGGCCCAGGUGGGAUUAGCUAGUAGGUGGGGUAACGGCUCACCUAGGCGACGAUCCCUAGCUGGUCUGAGAGGAUGAUCAGCCACACUGGAACUGAGACACGGUCCAGACUCCUACGGGAGGCAGCAGUGGGGAAUAUUGCACAAUGGGGGAAACCCUGAUGCAGCCAUGCCGCGUGUGUGAAGAAGGCCUUCGGGUUGUAAAGCACUUUCAGCAGUGAGGAAGGCGGUAUCGUUAAUAGCGGUAUUGUUUGACGUUAGCUGCAGAAGAAGCACCGGCUAACUCCGUGCCAGCAGCCGCGGUAAUACGGAGGGUGCGAGCGUUAAUCGGAAUUACUGGGCGUAAAGCGCAUGCAGGCGGCUUGUUAAGCCAGAUGUGAAAGCCCGGGGCUCAACCUCGGAAUCGCAUUUGGAACUGGCAGGCUAGAGUCUUGUAGAGGGGGGUAGAAUUUCAGGUGUAGCGGUGAAAUGCGUAGA